CAGAAAAUGACAUUGACGGACUCGACGCCCUACAAGCUCUCGCUCUCAGCGGCGAAGCCGUUGAUUAUACUGAAGAUGUUACUGAACCAGGAGAGAUUGUAUUCUUACGAGGUCAAAUGGUAAAAAUGAGCAGUUACCCAAAGAAGACUAAAUAUAAACUUAUUAUGAAAAGCCUUAAGGCGAAUGAAAAUAAGUUACGGACAGGGAAACGUGGAGGAAUUAAACUUGCUAAGAAAUUAAGAAAAAAGCGGCGUUUGGUGGUCAAUAAAAGAAGAGUGGGGAAAG